ensembl:snoRNA
AGGGGAAGAAGCAAUUUCAGUUGCCUCGAGAAACCCUACUCUGUUUAUUUCUCACCCAGUACGAAUCUAGGUUCAUUGACAAGGGUCACAAAACUUGAGACCUUUCCAUGAAUAUAUACCCUACCGAC